AUGCUAAAGGAUGUUCCACUCCAAGCAACAUUUUCAAAUGGAACGAGAACAUACAGAAUAAGCAGCACCAAAGCUUCGAGGGUUAAAAACAUUUUAUCUGCUCAGGCAAUAAAAGAAGCAGAAAAAGAAAUCCCUCAUUAAAGCCAACGUCCAAAUUCCCAGUGGAGCAGCAGAUACACAAGUCAUGCAGAUCUGGCACAGGAAGUGCCUGAGCUGGAUUAUGCUCUCAUUUGUGACAAACCUGUUAACCCAGGUGCAGCUGCCAGUCCAGAUGUGCCUCUGUGACACCUGUGCAUAUCCACUGUCUAUAUCUCUCUGAGGUAUACAGCAAAAAUAAAAAUGUAAUGGGAAUUGAGGCA
rnacentral:lncRNA from 1 species